GACGAACGCUGGCGGUGUGCUUAACAUAUGCAAGUCGAACGGAAAGGCCCUGCUUUUGUGGGGUGCUCGAGUGGCGAACGGGUGAGUAACACGUGAGUAACCUGCCCUUGACUUUGGGAUAACUUCAGGAAACUGGGGCUAAUACCGGAUAGGAGCUCCUGCUGCAUGGGGGGGGUUGGAAAGUUUCGGCGGUUGGGGAUGGACUCGCGGCUUAUCAGCUUGUUGGUGGGGUAGUGGCUUACCAAGGCUUUGACGGGUAGCCGGCCUGAGAGGGUGACCGGCCACAUUGGGACUGAGAUACGGCCCAGACUCCUACGGGAGGCAGCAGUGGGGAAUAUUGCACAAUGGGCGGAAGCCUGAUGCAGCAACGCCGCGUGCGGGAUGACGGCCUUCGGGUUGUAAACCGCUUUCGCCUGUGACGAAGCGUGAGUGACGGUAAUGGGUAAAGAAGCACCGGCUAACUACGUG
rnacentral:rRNA from 1 species